rnacentral:rRNA from 1 species
GAUGAACGCUGGCGGUAUGCUUAACACAUGCAAGUCGAACGGACUCUUCGGAGUUAGUGGCGGACGGGUGAGUAACGCGUGAGAAUCUGGCUUUGGGUUCGGGACAACCACUGGAAACGGUGGCUAAUACCGGAUGUGCCGAGAGGUAAAAGAGAAAUUGCUUGAAGAUGAGCUCGCGUCUGAUUAGCUAGUUGGUGAGGUAAAGGCUCACCAAGGCAGCGAUCAGUAGCUGGUCUGAGAGGAUGACCAGCCACACUGGGACUGAGACACGGCCCAGACUCCUACGGGAGGCGGCAGUGGGGAAUUUUCCGCAAUGGGCGAAAGCCUGACGGAGCAAUACCGCGUGAGGGAAGAAGGCUCUUGGGUUGUAAACCUCUUUUCUUAGGGAAGAACAAAAUGACGGUACCUAAGGAAUCAGCAUCGGCUAACUCCGUG